AAUGAAGGAAAAAAAAAAACACCAUAAGCAUAGUCAGACUGAAGUUGUAAUUGAAAAGCUCGGAAAACUUGAAAAUCAAAUGAAUGAUUUACAACAGCAAUGUAAUCAUUUAUCACAAAUGGUACAACAGAUCUUAGAUUAUUGGAAUGAGCACCGAGAUACCCCUUCAAAUAUGGAAUCAUUGCAACUCGAAAGGAAAACGGGAUUCCCUUUGUCUGGUUUUAAUCGAAUAUCUGAUGAUACUAUUCAUCUUGGACAAGGCAUUUUUAUUCCCAAAAAAUAUUAUGAUGCGGUUGCUGUCAGGGCAAAAUCGGGUUCACAGUUCGUUCGGAAUAUACUCAUAAUUCUAUUUACCGAAGAAGAAUUAAAAAAUAGUAAUUUAUACGGUGAAAAAUCUAAUAAAGUUAAAGUAGAAGAACAAAAACCUGCAUUGGAUGCUACAAAACUGCAAGCAAUUAAAGAUAUCUAUUCAUACUAUCUUAAACAAGGCUGAGUAAAAGAAGAAAGUAUAUCUGAUGAAAUAAGAAAGGUUGAUUGCUACAUUAGAAGUAAGAUUGGGGACUUACGCCGAGAAGCUCGAAGAUCUGAAAAGAAAAGUAUGGAACCGGUCAAAGUACCACCCGAAAAUACAAAAAAAUUUGCAAUUUGUAAAACAUCAGUUACAAAUAAUGAUAGUGAAGAUACAGAGAUAUCAAGUGCUGAACAGAGUAGCGAUAGCUCAGAAAAUUCUGACGAAGAAGAGGUUCAUAAAACUGUAAACUUAGAAAAUAUUACAGAAGAUACUCCUAAAGAUACAAGUGAAAAAAUUGAUGAAGAGGAAAGUGAUGAUGAUGAUGAUGAUGACAAAAAUACAGAGCUUG